GGAGAGGUCGCAUAGUUUGGUCCAUUGCGGGGGAUUGCUAAUCCCCUGAGCUUAAAUGCUCACGCGGGUUCGAAUCCCGCCCUCUCCG
rnacentral:tRNA from 1 species